rnacentral:pre_miRNA from 1 species
UGUUGUUGUUGUUGUUGUUGUUGGUGGUGGUGGUGGUGGUGGUGCUGCUGCUGCUGCACCACCACCGCCACCGCCACCACCACCACCACUACUA